rnacentral:lncRNA from 1 species
GGCAUUUGAGCAUGAUAUAAGUGAGGAUUAAGCAAAAAAAAUUUGAAAGAAAUUAAGAAAAAGAAGAGAGGAAAAAAUAGAAAGAGAGAGAAGAAGAGAGAAAAAGGCAAGUGAGGGCUGCUUGACCUAGGAUUUGAUUUUUUUUAUAUAUUAGAGUACAAAACCAAACUCUAGGUGGUGAGAUCUCUUGAGAAGAGAUUCUUGUCAUAGUCC